rnacentral:rRNA from 1 species
GGGUUGUGAGGUUAAGCGACUAAGCGUACACGGUGGAUGCCCUGGCAGUCAGAGGCGAUGAAGGACGUGCUAAUCUGCGAUAAGCGUCGGUAAGGUGAUAUGAACCGUUAUAACCGGCGAUUUCCGAAUGGGGAAACCCAGUGUGUUUCGACACACUAUCAUUAACUGAAUCCAUAGGUUAAUGAGGCGAACCGGGGGAACUGAAACAUCUAAGUACCCCGAGGAAAAGAAAUCAACCGAGAUUCCCCCAGUAGCGGCGAGCGAACGGGGAGCAGCCCAGAGCCUGAAUCAGUGUGUGUGUUAGUGGAAGCGUCUGGAAAGGCGCGCGAUACAGGGUGACAGCCCCGUACACAAAAAUGCACAUGCUGUGAGCUCGAUGAGUAGGGCGGGACACGUGGUAUCCUGUCUGAAUAUGGGGGGACCAUCCUCCAAGGCUAAAUACUCCUGACUGACCGAUAGUGAACCAGUACCGUGAGGGAAAGGCGAAAAGAACCCCGGCGAGGGGAGUGAAAAAGAACCUGAAACCGUGUACGUACAAGCAGUGGGAGCACGCUUAGGCGUGUGACUGCGUACCUUUUGUAUAAUGGGUCAGCGACUUAUAUUCUGUAGCAAGGUUAACCGAAUAGGGGAGCCGAAGGGAAACCGAGUCUUAACUGGGCGUUAAGUUGCAGGGUAUAGACCCGAAACCCGGUGAUCUAGCCAUGGGCAGGUUGAAGGUUGGGUAACACUAACUGGAGGACCGAACCGACUAAUGUUGAAAAAUUAGCGGAUGACUUGUGGCUGGGGGUGAAAGGCCAAUCAAACCGGGAGAUAGCUGGUUCUCCCCGAAAGCUAUUUAGGUAGCGCCUCGUGAAUUCAUCUCCGGGGGUAGAGCACUGUUUCGGCAAGGGGGUCAUCCCGACUUACCAACCCGAUGCAAACUGCGAAUACCGGAGAAUGUUAUCACGGGAGACACACGGCGGGUGCUAACGUCCGUCGUGAAGAGGGAAACAACCCAGACCGCCAGCUAAGGUCCCAAAGUCAUGGUUAAGUGGGAAACGAUGUGGGAAGGCCCAGACAGCCAGGAUGUUGGCUUAGAAGCAGCCAUCAUUUAAAGAAAGCGUAAUAGCUCACUGGUCGAGUCGGCCUGCGCGGAAGAUGUAACGGGGCUAAACCAUGCACCGAAGCUGCGGCAGCGACGCUUAUGCGUUGUUGGGUAGGGGAGCGUUCUGUAAGCCUGCGAAGGUGUGCUGUGAGGCAUGCUGGAGGUAUCAGAAGUGCGAAUGCUGACAUAAGUAACGAUAAAGCGGGUGAAAAGCCCGCUCGCCGGAAGACCAAGGGUUCCUGUCCAACGUUAAUCGGGGCAGGGUGAGUCGACCCCUAAGGCGAGGCCGAAAGGCGUAGUCGAUGGGAAACAGGUUAAUAUUCCUGUACUUGGUGUUACUGCGAAGGGGGGACGGAGAAGGCUAUGUUGGCCGGGCGACGGUUGUCCCGGUUUAAGCGUGUAGGCUGGUUUUCCAGGCAAAUCCGGAAAAUCAAGGCUGAGGCGUGAUGACGAGGCACUACGGUGCUGAAGCAACAAAUGCCCUGCUUCCAGGAAAAGCCUCUAAGCAUCAGGUAACAUCAAAUCGUACCCCAAACCGACACAGGUGGUCAGGUAGAGAAUACCAAGGCGCUUGAGAGAACUCGGGUGAAGGAACUAGGCAAAAUGGUGCCGUAACUUCGGGAGAAGGCACGCUGAUAUGUAGGUGAAGUCCCUCGCGGAUGGAGCUGAAAUCAGUCGAAGAUACCAGCUGGCUGCAACUGUUUAUUAAAAACACAGCACUGUGCAAACACGAAAGUGGACGUAUACGGUGUGACGCCUGCCCGGUGCCGGAAGGUUAAUUGAUGGGGUUAGCGCAAGCGAAGCUCUUGAUCGAAGCCCCGGUAAACGGCGGCCGUAACUAUAACGGUCCUAAGGUAGCGAAAUUCCUUGUCGGGUAAGUUCCGACCUGCACGAAUGGCGUAAUGAUGGCCAGGCUGUCUCCACCCGAGACUCAGUGAAAUUGAACUCGCUGUGAAGAUGCAGUGUACCCGCGGCAAGACGGAAAGACCCCGUGAACCUUUACUAUAGCUUGACACUGAACAUUGAGCCUUGAUGUGUAGGAUAGGUGGGAGGCUUUGAAGUGUGGACGCCAGUCUGCAUGGAGCCGACCUUGAAAUACCACCCUUUAAUGUUUGAUGUUCUAACGUUGACCCGUAAUCCGGGUUGCGGACAGUGUCUGGUGGGUAGUUUGACUGGGGCGGUCUCCUCCUAAAGAGUAACGGAGGAGCACGAAGGUUGGCUAAUCCUGGUCGGACAUCAGGAGGUUAGUGCAAUGGCAUAAGCCAGCUUGACUGCGAGCGUGACGGCGCGAGCAGGUGCGAAAGCAGGUCAUAGUGAUCCGGUGGUUCUGAAUGGAAGGGCCAUCGCUCAACGGAUAAAAGGUACUCCGGGGAUAACAGGCUGAUACCGCCCAAGAGUUCAUAUCGACGGCGGUGUUUGGCACCUCGAUGUCGGCUCAUCACAUCCUGGGGCUGAAGUAGGUCCCAAGGGUAUGGCUGUUCGCCAUUUAAAGUGGUACGCGAGCUGGGUUUAGAACGUCGUGAGACAGUUCGGUCCCUAUCUGCCGUGGGCGCUGGAGAACUGAGGGGGGCUGCUCCUAGUACGAGAGGACCGGAGUGGACGCAUCACUGGUGUUCGGGUUGUCAUGCCAAUGGCACUGCCCGGUAGCUAAAUGCGGAAGAGAUAAGUGCUGAAAGCAUCUAAGCACGAAACUUGCCCCGAGAUGAGUUCUCCCUGACUCCUUGAGAGUCCUGAAGGAACGUUGAAGACGACGACGUUGAUAGGCCGGGUGUGUAAGCGCAGCGAUGCGUUGAGCUAACCGGUACUAAUGAACCGUGAGGCUUAACCUUACAACGCCGAAG